rnacentral:rRNA from 1 species
CGGGUGCACUGAUCCAGCCGGGCCUUUCCCUCUGUGGAACCCCAUGGCCUUCACUGGCUGUGGUGGGGAAACAGGACUUUUACUUUGAAAAAAUUAGAGUGCUCCAGGCAGGCCUAUGCUCGAAUACAUUAGCAUGGAAUAAUAGAAUAGGACGUGUGGUUCUAUUUUGUUGGUUUCUAGGACCGCCGUAAUGAUUAAUAGGGACAGUCGGGGGCAUCAGUAUUCAAUUGUCAGAGGUGAAAUUCUUGGAUCUAUUGAAGACUAACUACUGCGAAAGCAUUUGCCAAGGAUGUUUUCAUUGAUAAGGAACGAAAGUUAGGGGAUCGAAGACGAUCAGAUACCGUCGUAGUCUUAACUAUAAACUAUGCCGACUAGGGAUCGGACGAUGUUAUUCUUUGACGCGUUCGGCACCUUUCGAGAAAUCAAAGUGCUUGGGCUCCAGGGGGAGUAUGGUCGCAAGGCUGAAACUUAAAGAAAUUGACGGAAGGGCACCACCAGGGGUGGAACCUGCGGCUUAAUUUGACUCAACACGGGGAAACUCACCAGGUCCAGACACAGUGAGGAUUGACAGAUUGAGAGCUCUUUCUUGAUUCUGUGGGUGGUGGUGCAUGGCCGUUCUUAGUUGGUGGAGUGAUUUGUCUGCUUAAUUGCGAUAACGAACGAGACCUUAACCUGCUAAAUAGCCCGUACUGCUUUGGCAGUUCGCCGGCUUCUUAGAGGGACUAUCGCG